GAAUGUGCAUGUGGCGAUCUGGCUGCGACAUCUGUCACCCCAUUGAUCGGCCAGAGUUGAUUGCGGCUGAUCUGGCUGGGCUAAGUGGGUGUCCCCCUUCCUCCAUCACCGCUCCAGUGUAUGUCCCCUCCCUGAAGCUUGCUGCGGCAUCGCUCGAAGGGACAACCAUCUCUGCUAGGAGGAGGGGCCAGCUUCGGUCAAGCGGGUAUACGGAGUAGCUGCGCCUCCCACUGCUAGGAACCUCCAAACAGCUCUCAGAGCGAAGUCUUUGUAUGUCUAUAAUGAGGAAAUUGGUGGGAUUGUACAGAGUAUAAGGAUGAACUUGCGCGGCGAAGU
rnacentral:snRNA from 1 species